rnacentral:lncRNA from 1 species
AAACAGAGGAGUAGCAAAAUGGGAGGAAGGUGCUGUGACUAAAUGAAGGAAGGCUGAGGGGUUAAAAUCAUUGCUGGGUGAUUUCACCACUACUGCCCCAUAUUCAUACUCUCGGUAAAUGAAUGAGGAGAGCCCCAUGUGGGAUUACAAACUUGCUGGAAAUGGAUGAGAAACCUUCUGCUCUGCUGGAGUUUAUCUUGAGUGUGCCUUAAAAUUCCAUUUCAUGGAGAACUGUGCGUGGUUGAAUUUUGAUUGAUUACUCAAUUAACUGAUGUAUUGGUAGAGUGAUUAAGAAAGAAGACUUUGGGAUCAGACCAACCUGGUUUUGAAUUCAAGCUCAGCAACUUACUAGGUAAGGAGGAGAAAAGAAAGAAGGAAAAAUUGGAAAGAUAAAUGGGGUCUUUCCAGUGAAGCCUCCAGGCCUCCAGACUGGAACUUAUACCACUGAUUCUUCUGAAUCUUAGGCCUUUGGACUUGGACUGGAACUAAACCAUCAGCUCUUCUUGUUCUACCACUUGCAGACUGUAUGUCUUGGGACAUGUCAGCCUCUGUAAUCACGCUCAAUUUUCCUACAUAAUUAAGAGUUUGGAAUUCGGGCAAUAUCAAGAACCACAUCUGUCCUGAAAUCAAUUAUCUCUGUUUGUUUCUCUUCUCCGUCUGCUUCUUCCUACCAGUGGCCAUGGUCCAUGCCUCCUUUACUACAUCAGAUCCACCUAGUCCCUGGACUAAUCAGAAACACAAGAAAUAAGAAGACCAUUUUGAGAAGAACAGAGAGUAGCCUUAAGAAAAUCCCUGUCGCAAGCACUCUGGGAUUUGGACUCAAAUGCUAAUUAUACAGAACCACUUGGGUGCCCAGCUGCUGUCCAUUCUCUACACUUAUCCCACCUGAUGGAAGGCUGUUAAGAAAAACAUCACUGCAAUGCCUAAUAAACAGACAUGGGUCCCAGACCCAAUAAGAGUGAAACCAUCCCCCUAUUUAAAUGAAAUUAUGGCUGAUGAGAAAGACAAAUUAAUUUCUCUGUCCCUAGUAUUACACAAAACUUUGGAUGCUGCCAUUGUUACAAUUUUAUUUUCCCCAGGAGCUCAGAGUCCCACCUUCAUUCUUUUUGUUUAAUGCUUAAGCUUGCCUGUCCACCUAUGGAAGACUAGAAUGAGCAAAGACCAUGUAUUCAAUGAUCUGUAAAUCUAACAGGAAACAAUAUAAUAAAUAUAUUGUGUUUGCUAACCAAA